CAUAAUUCAUGUGGGUCAUUUAUGUUCCUUUACCCCUACACAAGAAGGCCCUUCUUAAGUUAUGAAUACAUGUCAUUUUCAGCUUUUGUAAACUAUAUUGUACGGAUUUUAUUGCAAUGCAUUAAUCACAGUCGCCUAAAUUGAAAGAAGAGAUUUUUAUGAAGGCCAAAGUCUUGCCAGUGAAAGUUUCUUCUGUAUUGAUUUGUAAGGGUGAUCGAUUCCCAGCCUAAAUUCAGGAAUUGACCCUAUAAGUCCCGACCAUUCAAAUUUAUCUGUUUGUAUUAAACUUUCAACUAUUAACAUUACCUCUCUGAACUUUCAUUUUGCUAUGGCCGUUAAUUGUCCGUCCUAUUUUCCGUUUGCGUGUGUAAUGCAUGACUUUUAAUUAGUAGUAUUUGAUCUCUUUUUUU